UUUUUAGUUAAUAAAUAUUAAUUUGGGCUGGAAAGGGUUAACGAAUUUCCCGAUUCAACGAAUUAUUUUCAUGGUCCCGACAAGAAUUGAUUAAAAUUCCCGGAUCUAACGAAUACAUAACCUCGAUUUAACGAACGCUCAAUGGAAUGUUUUUUAGAAAAAGAAUCGCAUAUUGGGGAAAAAUGUGUCAAAUCGCUUCCAAGAAAACUACUGUACGUAUUCAUUUAGACAUGAAUCAGUAUAAGUUUAGAAUCUGGGACUGUGUUCUGGUCACUGUAUCUCUCAGAGACGAAAGACGUGUCUACAUCAGUACAUAUGUACUGUAUACUGUAUUGUACCUGUAUGUUCUUAAAAUUUUAUUUUUGUAUAUUCACUAGUUAUACAGUACAGUACAAUAUAUGAUUCAUUGACUGGCAUUGUUUCUUAAGCAUAAUAGCGUUUAUUUUUGAUUAUCCGGAUUUAAUGGAUAAAAAUCUCAACCCUGCACGAUUCGUUAAAUUGGG
rnacentral:lncRNA from 1 species